AAACUGGGGCUAAUCCCCGAUAGGUGAAGAACUCUGGAAUGAGUCUCCGCCCAAAAGACGCUUACGCCAUGCUCGUAGGCGCCGCCCAAGGAUGGGGCCGCGACCGAUCAGGUUGUUGGUGAGGUAAUGGCUCACCAAGCCUUUUACCGGUGCGGGCCGUGGGAGCGGGAGCCCGGAGAUGGGCACUGAGACAAGGGCCCAGGCCCUACGGGGCGCAGCAGUCGCGAAAACUUUGCAAUACACGAAAGUGUGACAGGGCUAUCCCGAGUGCCAUCCGCUGAGGAAGGCUUUUACCCAGUGUAGAUAGCUGGGGGAAUAAGGAGAGGGCAAGACUGGUGUCAGCCGCCGCGGUAAUACCAGCUCUCCGAGUGGUGUGGAUGUUUAUUGGGCCUAAAGCAUCCGUAGCUGGCUGGGCAAGUCCCCUGUUAAAUCCACCGAUUCAAUCGUUGGAGUGCGGGGGAUACUGCUCGGCUAGGGGACGGGAGAGGCCGACGGUAUUUCCGGGGUAGGGGUGAAAUCCUAUAAUCCCGGGAGGACCACCAGUGGCGAAGGCUGUCGGCUAGAACGCGCCCGACGGUGAGGGAUGAAAGCUGGGGGAGCGAACCGGAUUAGAUACCCGGGUAGUCCCAGCUGUAAACGAUGCAGGCUAGGUGUUUGGGCGGCCACGUGCCGCUCUAGUGCCGCAGGGAAGUCGUUAAGCCUGCCGCCUGGGGAGUACGGCCGCAAGGCUGAAACUUAAAGGAAUUGGCGGGGGAGCACCACAAGGGGUGAAGCUUGCGGUUUAAUUGGAGUCAACGCCGGAAAUCUCACCGGGAGCGACAGCAGGUUGAAGGCCAGAUUAAAGGUCUUGCUAGACGAGCUGAGAGGAGGUGCAUGGCCGUCGCCAGUUCGUGCCGUGAGGUGUCCUGUUAAGUCAGGCAACGAUCGAGACCCGCGUCCUCUGUUGCUACUGGCCUUGUGCCAGGCACACUGAGGAGACCGCCGCUGAUAAAGCGGAGGAAGGAGCGGGCCACGGCAGGUCAGUAUGCCCCGAAUCUCCCGGGCCACACGCGAGCUGCAAUGGCAGGUACAAUUGGUUCCGACCUCGAAAGGGGAAGGCAAUCCCGAAAGCCUGCCGUAGUUGGGAUCGAGGGUUGAAACCCAUCCUCGUGAACAUGGAAUCCCUAGUAAUCGCGUGUCAUAGCGCGCGGAAAGAC
rnacentral:rRNA from 1 species